rnacentral:rRNA from 1 species
AUUGAACGCUGGCGGCAGGCCUAACACAUGCAAGUCGAACGAAGCGACGGAUGGGUGAGAAACGCGUGGGUAACCUACCCUUAAGUCUGGGAUACCAUUUGGAAACAGAUGCUAAUACCGGAUACUAAAGGAUGGACCUGGGAUGCAUGAGCUAGUUGGUAAGGUAACGGCUUACCAAGGCGAUGAUGCAUAGCCGAGUUGAGAGACUGAUCGGCCACAUUGGGACUGAGACACGGCCCAAACGCCUACGGGAGGCAGCAGUAGGGAAUCUUCCAUAAUGGACGCAAGUCUGAUGGAGCAACGCCGCGUGAGUGAAGAAGGUUUUCGGAUCGUAAAGCUCUGUUGUUGGUGAAGCGGUAAUCAACCAGAAAGUCACGGCUAACUACGUGCCAGCAGCCGCGGUAAUAC